CCCGCCAGAAUUUGGGUUUUAUCCCCAGCUGCUUCCCUCCUCCCUCCUCCUCCCCUCCGCCCGCUCUCCUCUCCUCUCCUCGCUGCCAAGUCCGCAGGUUUCCCACUGUGACCUUGAGCUCGUGUUCCUGGAGCUGGUUGUGGGCUUCUUAAAGGCGCCGUGUGGGCACUGAGGGCCCCGCCUGCCGCCUCCCCAUGGGACCCAUGGAGAUGGGGCACGGGGACGUGACGGCACGGCGCGGCUGAGCCCCAUGGGCUGAGGAUCCAGCCCUGCUCGGACAGCCCAGGAUGCACUAAAAGCUCCAUCAUCCGGAGAGGACCCCAAUCGAUAGGUGCCUUCAAGGCAAGUCGUAAAACUUGGACAUUACGCCGGCACCGCUCGGCGCUCCGCGGUGAAGGCGGUGUUUAAUUCAUGGGAUUAAAUGGGAGAGAAAGGAUGGAGGCCCCAGUGCUGCUGGGAAACCCAUGAAGAAUGACCUUAGCCAUGGCUGGGGGACACUGCUGCUCGUGGGGGGAGCCCUGCAAGCACCCUGCGUUCCUGAGCACCGUGGCCAGGGCAUGAUGCAAAUACAAAUCAAUGUGUGGAAAGAGGGGUUAAGGCAAACAUUAACCAUGGGAGUCAUGAGCUGGUUCACCAGAAGGACGUGGAAAUGCCCCACCAGCACAGGGAUGGGGCUCAGGGUGGGCUCUGAGCACCCACUGGCACUGACCCCAAGCUGGGACAAGGCACACAGGUGGGGGAUGCCGCAGAGCUCCUCAAUGCCUUCUGGGUGUGUGGAGGUUGGGACUGCAGAGAUUGGCAUCGUGGCCCAGCACUGUGUCCUGUGAGAUGGGGACCGGAGCACAGAGCCUAUGGGCGGCUCAGGGAGCUGUGCCCACUGUUACAGAUAUGUGUGGGGAAACUGAGGCACUGAGGGUCUCAGAUGCUUAAAGAGAUGGAUAACGAGGGAGGAACCCAGCGAGGCUCAUGCCCGACAUCAGACCAACCCCACAGCAUCCCAAAGAUCUCCUCCUGCAUCACUGAACACGUAUGGGCAACACAAAGGCACCAGCUGGUGACCGAAAGGCACGGCUCCGUAGCCACGGCUCCACAGUGCUCCUGGAUGAGGACAGAUGCUGCGCCCUACGCUUGGCACAGGGUCUGUCCUGCAGGAGAUGGGAUGGCAGCACCGGGAUGGGACGAGCAGCCACUGCAGGUGGGGACGCUCAGCACAGCCCUCAGGUGAGGGGACGGAGCCGGAAUCGCUGUGCCCAAAGAGGGAGCGAUGGGACGAGGAGGAGGAGGAGGAGGCUGAGAGGAAAGAAAAAGAGAAAAAUGAGUUUUCCUGCUGCCCCAGCGGCGCGGCGAUUGAUCGGGCGCAGUGCCUCCUGCUUCCAGCUGGGCUGGAAACACCACAAAAACAGACACCACAAUGCAGCACUUUCGUGUUUCAAGUCCUGGAUGAAACGAGACGCAAAAGAUACAGAGCCCAUUGCGUGGGGACAGCGAUGGCGGGGCUUCACCUGGGCACGAGUGCAGAUGUACCUGGAGAAAGCUCGGGGUGUUGGUGGGGCAGGAAGAGGGACUGCAGCCCCCCCCAGCUUUUCUCUCCCCAUGUGUGGGACCCAAGAGUUGUGCCCCGGCUCCUCGGGUUUGCCCCAAAGCUUUCCUGUAAUCUCACACUCCCCCUGUGUUGCAUCUCAUGCUGGAUCCAACUGGACUCCCAACCCAGCCGCGUUCUGCUGCACAGCACCGCCCAGCCUCAGCCCCACUGCAUCUCCGAUGUCCCUGCCUUCCCUCUUCGUCUGUUUUCAUUAGGAUUUGGAGAUAAGCUUCAAAAUAAAGGCAGUGUUUUUAACCUCCCUGCCUUAUCAGCAUCCUUCCAGCGGGGCCCAGACCCAGCCACGCUGUGUGGGAUGCUCCAGGGAACAGAGACCCCAAAUCUCUCCCCCCACAUCCUGCACAUUUGCUGCCCCACAGCUUGCAGUGGGGCUCCGGAGCGCACUGUUGGCUUUGGGAAGCUCUCUCUGCACCUGGGGACAGCAGUCGCACGCACUCAUGUGCGGGAAUACAAACCCAGCGCCAGCUCAGCACACCUGGAUUUUAUUCCUGGCUCUGCCGCUGACCUCCAGCAGUUGUUUCCCUCCCCUGGGGCUGUCUCCUCUCCUGCUGUCACACCACCAGCACUGCUUUGCCCCAGCGAGGUCCCCAAGCUCCAUCACCCCUUGGCUCGAGACAGAACCCGCUUUGAGGACGCAGCCCUCCCCUGCCCUUCUCCCAAACGAGGUCCCCAACCCGACAGAGUAACACCGCGUGCACCGAGCGCUCGCUCACGGACAGCAGAGAUCUGGCUGGUCGCACGGGGUUGGCUUUCGUCCUCGUUUCCAGCUGCUAAAUUGCAUUAUGGACAGUUAAAAAUACAUCGCAUACUUUCCUAAUGUGACUUUGCCGUGGUAGGCGAGCAGCACCGCCGCCACUGAGAUGCCGGGCAGUGCAAAUAGGGCUGCAGAGCAGCUCCGUGUCCCACGGAGGGGACCUGCAGGCUGGCAGAUGGCUGCCCUGUGCUUUGCCUCAGUUUCCCCUCCGGUGAAAGCAUUUGACAGCAAUGAAAACG
ensembl:lncRNA